rnacentral:rRNA from 1 species
GUGCCAGCAGCCGCGGUAAUACGUAAGGGGCAAGCGUUGUCCGGAAUCACUGGGCGUAAAGCGCACGUAGGCGGCUUGGCAAGUCAGGGGUGCAAGCUCUAGGCUUAACCUAGAAAUUGCCUCUGAAACUACCUCGCUUGAGGGUCAGAGGGGAAACUGGAAUUCACGGUGUAGCGGUGAAAUGCGUAGAUAUCGUGGAGAACACCCGUGGCGAAGGCGGGUUUCUGGCUGACAACUGACGCUGAGGUGCGAAAGCUAGGGGAGCGAACGGGAUUAGAUACCCCAGUAGUCC